UUUCUGUUACAGUCAUAUUAACAAAAGGAGAUGCACAGAAUAGCAAUUUUCAGUGAGACUCUACCGAAUUGUUGUAGGGCUUGGCAAAAAGGCCCAUGUGGGAGAACCUUGAGUGUCCAGUGAGAUGAAGCAGAAACUGAACUAGCAAUCUGUGGUUUUUAUUGGGUAAUACAAGCAUGGACUUAACCUAGACACAAGACUGUUGUAAUUCCAGAAAUUUACCAUAUGAUUUAUACAUAGCAGGUAGAAACCAAAUUUCUUGCUGCUGGUAUUGAAUACAGUUGAAUAACUUUAAAGUGAAAGUUAAAAUUUCCAAUCUAGAUUUUGUUAUCAUGGGGAAAAUGACCAAUGCUUGCAUGCAAAAAUUUAUGUGGGCUUUUCUGAGAUCUUGUAGAAAAUAAUAAAUUGGGUUUUUAUUGUCUAACCACACUUAGAGUAAAAUUGUGUUUCCCAGAUCUGUCUCGUAGAUUACUAAGCUUCCUCGUCCAGUGUGAAUAAAUAACUUUGUGGGGGCAUGGGUGAUGCAGACGGUUUUAGCCUGACUUGUGUACUUUACUGGGUAUGAGAGUAGACCUAACAUAAAGUGCUCGGAAUUUCUCUCCACAAUUGCUAUGCUGUUCCAUAUUCUGGGAAUUAAUUUACUACUAAAUUCCUGGUUGGUGUUAAGAGAAAGGCUUAACUUCUAAUGAUAAAGCUGAGAAAAUAAGGACUUCCUUAACUGAAACGCGCCCUCCUCAGUUUUGUUCGUGUUACCGUGCUGUCUCUCCGUCCAUCCUAAGCUCUCUCUAGUCACAACACUUACUCAUUCUUCCAUAAAUAGACUUGUGCCCAAAAGGGGACAGACAAAAGAAGCAUGGCAACGUGUCUUACAGAUUAGCUUUCUCUUUUUCCCUCUGUCUUCUUUUUUAAUGCAAUUCUCAACUACUUCCCUGGCUUCAGGAACCAUCCCUUAGGAUGACCAUUCUCAAAUCAGUUUCUCCUGCCUCUACCUUUCUUUUACAUUUCAGUUCUCAAUUCUCAUUUUGUAGGUAUCUCAAACACAACUUACCUAAAAUCAAUUUCAUUCCCUGCUAUUCCCUGCUUCUCCACCUUUCAAUCCCUCUCCCAUCCUCCUCCCACCCCUGAAAUUCCGUUUUCAUGCAAAGGCUUCACCACCCGCCUCCUCACUCUACUCAACCUUAUAAAAAACCUCUCUCAUCUCCAUUUCCAGUUAGUUUACAAGUCCAGUCAAUUUUACAUGAUAUCCUACAUGGGCUAGUUACCUAAGCUUAAUUAUUAUUAGCAAACACUAACACAUAUUGUGUUAUUCCUAUAGAAAUCAGCAAAAGGUCCCAGGGUAUCCUCUGUGUGGAAAAUAACCAUGAUGCACCUUAGUGCUGUAGUCUCACUCUAUCACUCAAGCUGGAGUGCAGUGUGGCUGGAGGUGAAUUUCAGAGAUAUGGCGUGAGUUGUGCAGCUUAUAUACGGAAGGAUCAGGAUGGGAACUUAAGCCUGCAUGCCUCAAAGUCUUUGCUUUGAAGUGUUGCAUAUAUGGCUUUGUGCAGAGGACUGUCUGGUACUACAAAUGUGUACUACAAAGACAAU